GCUUUACUGUAGCCUGGAAUUGGGUUCGGGCUUUGCUUGCGCAGGAUAGGUGGGAGGCUUAGAGACUGCCCUUGUGGGGGCAGUGGAGCCAACGGUGAGAUACCACUCUAGCAAGGCUAGAAUUCUAACCUUAUGCCGUGAUCCGGCUGAGGAACAGUUUCAGGUGGGCAGUUUGACUGGGGCGGUCGCCUCCUAAAUGGUAACGGAGGCGCGCAAAGGUUCUCUCAGGCUGGUUGGAAAUCAGCCGCAGAGUGUAAAGGCAGAAGAGAGCUUGACUGUGAGACAAACACGUCGAACAGGGACGAAAGUCGGCCUUAGUGAUCCGACGGCGCUGAGUGGAAGGGCCGUCGCUAAACGGAUAAAAGUUACUCUAGGG
rnacentral:rRNA from 1 species